AUUUUAUUUAUGGAAAAAUAUCAAACCCCAUUAAUUCAUGCUAGUUUAAAUUUCUAAGCCUAAUUGUCCAAACAAAUAGCCAGUCUCUAACCUACUUGUCCAAAAAAAUUAGAAGAGGAAGAAGAGUGAGAAUGAAACCCUAGAUCUACGCCACCGUAUUCAUCUCUUUGCCAUUGUCACCAUCAAGCUCACCAUAGCGUCUGAGAUCAGAGGGAGAGUAAUCGACGACGCCCGCGACGCCAUACUUGCCGACAUCAGCAAGUUUCCAUCCUCAACUCCACUUUCUCAUGGAAGGAGUCAGAUCGAGCCGCCGCCAAUUGCGCCACUCACACGCUCGCCGAUCUUGCCAAAAACGAGGAAGUGGUGAAUGUGAUUAUUGAAGGAGGAGCUAUUCCUUUGGCACGUCUUCUGAGGUCACGACACGGAAGGAAUUAGUUCAGACACUAUUGAAAUUUUGGGAAAACAAAGCAAAUGUGUGAUAACAUGAUCAAGUGGAGGAAGGAAUUCAGUUUAGAAACUAUUGUAGAGGACUUUGAUUUCAAGAAAAUCAAUGAAGUGAUAAUCCUUCUUUGAGCCUGCUAGAAAUAUGGAAGCAUUUUUCAUUGACAGCAGGGUUUAUGCAUCAGUUUGAAAGUGAAAAUGGAUGAGAUUCAAAAACAGAAACAUGAAUCUGAAAAGAAAGUAGGAUUAGGAAUGUGAGGUUUGCUGUGGUUCGCAACACCCUCGUGUGAUGGUCCCCAACUUCCUCCCCCUUGAAGAAUGCAAGAAAGGUUGAAAGACAAGCUAAAGGAGUUUUUUAACUGUCAAUACGAGCUCUUUAUUAUUCACCACUCUAAUCAGGUUACUACUCUAUCUUAAGGACUAUCAAUUGCUUGUUGGUUGUUACUACUUUUACAAUCUUUACUUUAUUGUAUUUAUGAAUCAUCAAAUAGUUGAAGCAGAGGUACAAGCAUUGGGUGGCAUAGUGAUGAUAACAGACCCUACCUCAAACAGUGGCACUUUGCAGUCAUGAUUCCACUUUUCACUACUCCUCUCUUUUAUUGAAUUUUAUUUAAUACUGUUGCUGACAAUUUUGGUUCAUCAAAGGUGCUGUGCUAUUUAAAUAAUUAUGGCAAGAAUUUUAAUGGUGGACUCUUUCAUUUCCAGGAUAGCCAGCCAAUGUCAAUUAUGCCAAUGACUGGAGAUGUUCUGAUGUACUGCUGACCAGCGUAACAUUCAUUCUGUUGAUGAGAAACUAGUUAAACCUAUGAGGAUUGAGCGCUAAGCCGUUGUAAACUUCUCAGCUUGCUGUGACACACGUUUUCUGUGUAAUACCAUCAAAAAGUGUGCUGAAAUGAAGGGGAUUGUAAGAGUUUUAUGGCUAAUUUAGUCUUUAUUUAAGCAUGUUCCUUCCAAUGAUGGUAACAAAGAUGAAGGUAUCAUCAGGGAGCUAUUUAUAGACUUCUAUGAAACUUCAAAACAAAGGAAGCCUCAACAAACUAUAAUUUUCAGGUAUUGGAUUGGUUAAUUGAGGACUCAUACAUUGGAUUAGUCCUAAUGAUGAUUUACAAAAUAGAAUUUGAUUCUAUUUCUCUUACCGAGUGUAAUGGUGUAGUAAACUAGCAAAAGCUGUAUAUAACUAAAUUGAUUCAGCAUGAGUUUGAUUUUGUUUUCAUAGUUAUAUGAAUUUAGGGUUGCAAAUAUUGAAAAUACUUGCAUAAUUGUGCAAGUGUGAGUUCCAUGAUUCUCCAGAUACAUUCUCUGCUUCAGUUCAUGAAUAUAAAAUGCUCCCUAAAGAUCUUUUAGGAUUGCAUUCAUAUUUUUAUUUUGA